UCUGGCAUCGAUGAAGAACGCAGCGAAAUGCGAUAAGUAAUGUGAAUUGCAGAAUUCAGUGAAUCAUCGAAUCUUUGAACGCACAUUGCGCCCGCCAGUACUCUGGCGGGCAUGCCUGUUCGAGCGUCAUUUCAACCAUCAAGCCCCCGGGCCUGUGUU
rnacentral:rRNA from 1 species